rnacentral:rRNA from 1 species
UACAGAGGAGCCAAGCGUUGUCCGGAUUGACUGGGCGUAAAGCGCACGCAGGCGGACGCGCGCGUGGGGUGUGAAAUCUGGCCGCUUAACGGCCAGGCGCCAUCCCAUACGGCGCGUCUGGAGUGAUGCAGAGGUCGAUGGAAUUGCCGGUGUAGUGGUGAAAUGCGUAGAGAUCGGCAGGAACACCCAGGGGGAAACCAGUCGACUGGGCAUCUACUGACGCUGAGGCACGAAAGCUAGGGUAGCGAACGGG